rnacentral:hammerhead_ribozyme from 1 species
GAACUACUGAGGAGUCCCACAAUAGGACAAAACGGCCGUCCAGUGC